rnacentral:snoRNA from 1 species
CACAAGUGGCUGACAUGGCACAAUCUUGAUGGUUUCCUCCUUUGUUGAUUUACCAGUUGGCAUGGUUGAGGAUGAAGAAGAAAAUCAGACGGAUUCCCAUUGAUUUCAAAUCGAAAUGUGAUCUUUAACCAGCUACUUCCGACUCAAAUUCAUG